ACAAUGCACAGCCAAUACGAGGUGCUCCGUGUGUGUGGCGCGUAUAUAGUACUAUAUAUUUGCGUCUAUCUACAUGUAUUACACUGUACUACUUUUCAUCUGCUUUGACUAAAGCUACACACUAAAAACUGUAAACAAAAAAAAAUUCCACAUCAAGCUGAGACGCUCUGGUGUAACUGAAGUAACACAUUCCUACACUAGCUAAUAUGAAUCUGAAAUUUGUUUUGAAAUGAAUUUAAGGCAAAAUGUAUUUUCAAUUUAUCGGCUGACAAAAUAUUAACAUUACAGGUGUAUGCAUACCGUAACAUUACAUGUGUAUGUAUACUGUAACAUUACAGGUGUAUGCAUACCGUAACAAUACAGGUGUAUGCAUACCGUAACAUUACAGGUGUAUGCAUACCGUAAUAUUACAGGUGUAUGUAUACUGUAACAU